GACGAACGCUGGCGGCGUGCUUAACACAUGCAAGUCGAACGAUGAACCAUUUCGGUGGGGAUUAGUGGCGAACGGGUGAGUAACACGUGGGCAAUCUGCCCUGCACUCUGGGACAAGCCCUGGAAACGGGGUCUAAUACCGGAUGAUACCUGCUCUCGCAUGGGGGUGGGUUGAAAGACUCCGGCGGUGCAGGAUGAGCCCGCCGGCCUAUCAGCUUGUUGGUGGGGUGGANGGCCUACCAAGGCGACGACGGGUAGCCGGCCUGAGAGGGCGACCGGCCACACUGGGACUGAGACACGGCCCACGACUCCUACGGGAGGCAGCAGUGGGGAAGUAUUGCACAAUGGGCGGGAAGCCUGAUGCAGCGACGCCGCGUGAGGGAU
rnacentral:rRNA from 1 species